rnacentral:rRNA from 1 species
GACGAACGCUGGCGGCGUGCCUAAUACAUGCAAGUUGAGCGCUGAAGGUUGGUACUUGUACCAACUGGAUGAGCAGCGAACGGGUGAGUAACGCGUGGGGAAUCUGCCUUUGAGCGGGGGACAACAUUUGGAAACGAAUGCUAAUACCGCAUAAAAACUUUAAACACAAGUUUUAAGUUUGAAAGAUGCAAUUGCAUCACUCAAAGAUGAUCCCGCGUUGUAUUAGCUAGUUGGUGAGGUAAAGGCUCACCAAGGCGAUGAUACAUAGCCGACCUGAGAGGGUGAUCGGCCACAUUGGGACUGAGACACGGCCCAAACUCCUACGGGAGGCAGCAGUAGGGAAUCUUCGGCAAUGGACGAAAGUCUGACCGAGCAACGCCGCGUGAGUGAAGAAGGUUGUCGGAUCGUAAAACUCUGUUGGUAGAGAAGAACGUUGGUGAAAGUGGAAAGCUCAUCAAGUGACGGUAACUACCCAGAAAGGGACGGCUAACUACGUG